rnacentral:rRNA from 1 species
AUUGAACGCUGGCGGCAUGCCUAAUACAUGCAAGUCGAGCGGAUGAACGGAGCUUUCGCCUCGAUUCAGCUACGGACGGGUGGGUAAUGCCCACGAAUCUACCUUGUCUUUGAGGCUAACAUCACUACACGGGCGCUGAUAUCACAUCCGUCCUGAUGUUGAAACUGGUGGAUCUUCAGACCUCGCGCUUUCUGCUGACCCUAGUACGUAUUAGCUAGUUGGUGGGGUAAAGGCCUACCAAGGCGACGAUCCGUAGCCGGGCUGAGAGGCUGAUCUGCCACACUGGAACUGAGACACGGUCCAGACUCCUACGGGAGGCAGCAGUGGGGAAUAUUCGGCAAUGGGCGAAAGCCUGAUGGAGCAAAGCCGCGUGUGUGAAGAAGGUCUUCGGAUUGUAAAACUCUUUUAGUAGGGAAGAACGGAUGUGAAUUUAACUCUGGCUGUUUUGACGGUACCAAAAGAGAAAGCCACGGCUAACUUCGUG